UUUUCUUUUUUUUUUUUUGGCGGUACGCGGGCCUCUCGCUGUUGUGGCCUCUCCCGUUGCGGAGCCCAGGCUCCGGACGCGCAGGCUCAGCGGCCAUGGCUCACGGGCCCAGCCGCUCCGCGGCAUGUGGGAUCUUCCCGGACCGGGGCACGAACCCGUGUCCCCUGCAUCGGCAGGCGGACUCUCAACCACUGCGCCACAGGGAAGCCCCUUUUCUUCUUUUUUAAAUGGUGUUGAGACUGUGUUCCUUUCUAUCAGUUUCUUUAAUUUUGACACUCCUGACUGCCCUAUGAAGGUCAAGUGACAGAUUUCUCUGUUGACCUUCCAGAGCAGGUUUUGGAAGUUUUUCAUCCACUCUGUAUCACACAGAAAGUUUUCUAAAUAGAUGUGCCGAAAACAAGCAACUUACUGGUGAUGGCAAAGGCAAAAGAGGGACAGCAUCGACGCUGGAAACAGGCUCUCCUGCGUCACUUUUACUCUGCUUACAAAAGCAAAAUUCAUUCAGGUUUGAAAGAAUUGAAGGAAAAAAAAAAACCCAAAACAAACAGAAAACCCCAAGGGUCUCAGCCUGCAGUCUUUCCUUUGUAUGAGCUGAAGUCCUUAGAGACAGUUGAAUAACUUAAUAGAGUCCUCAGAAGCAUACCUGCCUUGAGAGAAAUAAGGGCAUUUUAAAACUGUGAACUUAGUAUUCUGUUUUUGACAGAGAAACUUUUUCCUCUUGAGGAACUGUAGAUUUUUAUUAUCCUUAAUAGUUGAAUUUGCAGGGAUGUGUUAAAUAAAAAUAGAACACGAAGUAAAUGCCAGCUAUUUCCAUCAACAGAAUUGUAGGUGACUUUUAUUAGAACUUUACUGAUGUUAAGUGAAGAAAGAGGGAAAGAGAAAAGGAGAGAGGAAGAGAGAGAGAAGGGGGGCAGGAAGGGAGAGAGGAAGAGGUAAAACAAAAAUGAAAAUGGAAAAAGCGCAGAUCUGUUCGUCUUGAUCAAAGAGGAGGCUCAGAAAAGAGCUGUUUCUGUGGGAUACUCUGUCCUCUGUGGAUCUUGUAACUCUGUGAUUAUCUUGCCCUGUGGCAAGACGCCACCCUGAAAUUGGUCUGCCAAUUUGAAGAAUCAUUUUCUUGCUUAUUUUUAAACUCCUAAGGACAGGGGAAAAGACUGAAGGAGCCUAAAUGCUGUGGUUUCCUCAAACCAUUAUUGUUGUAAAUCCUAUGGGUCCUGAAAUAACUCGCUAUUCCUGAAGUUUCAAACUGCCCCCUUGCUCAGAAGACUUGGCAGUUGAAAGGGAAAUGAUUAGCUCUUUCCUUUAAGCGCUGUCCCCAAGGUUUAAGUGGGUCAAAAUUGAAGAAUGUGGUGAUUGCAGAAGUAAACUACCUUUUUUAAAUGGAAAUUCUCUAGUUCUUUAUACAGAGCUUUGAGUUUUUCAAAUAUUUUCUAAAUCAAACAUAAAAUAUUUUAAAUUUAUAAAUCUUAAGUAACUUAAACAUUAGAUUAUUUGAUUUUCUAUGCAGAAAUCAUCAGGAGCCUGGGCAUUUUAACUUGGUGUCUUCCUUUGAAUGUUUAUGUUUUUGCUUGGUGAUUAAAAGUAAUUAUAGUCCAGUAACUCUCUCUGGUUAUGGGCUUAUGUUUUACUAACAAGUAACUUGUGGCAGAACUUGUGUUCCUUCUGGUUGGCUGGUACAUGAUCUUGAAUACUGUUGAUUUGUAGUCUGACUUCUCUUUAGAAUGAUUUAGGACAUUUAGUUUUGUGGACAGAAGAGUUGCACCUGUUUCUAGAGUUGAAGGUUGGCUAUUGUUUUAACUUCCUCGCAUUACUCAGAUGCUUAGGAAAAAAUGAUGCAAAUGACCUCUUUAUUUUUGUUUGGUUGGGUUUUUGUGGGGAGGCUUGCCAUUGAUUUGUAUAUUUUGGGAGUCAGUCCCUCCACAGGCACAUUGAUGAAAUAUACAGCAUGAAAGGUUAUGAGUUUAUUUUGAUGGGUUUUAACCUAGACUCUCCAAAAUAUAAUAUGCAUGUAUUUGGCACACUGACAAUGGCAAGGCUUUAAGAGGAUGAAAUUUACACUCUAGUGGUUUUAUUUUUUUCCUAUAAUACAUUCCAUUAUAAAUUCAGUAAGAAAGGGGAUCUGGGGUCAUUAUUAUGACAUCUUUUGGUGUCCUCCCUCCAGCUGGACACACUGACCUCAACAUUCUUGUAUGGAUACUUCCAGAAAAAUUCUUUUUUUUUUUUUUCCUUUUCUACUUCCAUCAUCCUUCAAACAUUUAAUUUAGGCUGAGUGAGAGAAGGAAAAACUGCCUUCUGAGUUUGCUCUGACGAACUUGCCUUGAGAGAGAAUGGUAUCUGUGGGUUUGAAAAUGAGGCCCCCUUUGGACUAUUAGUUUAAAGAAAUGAUGAUUUAUAAAAAUUCCACCAUAAGUUCAGCUAUUCAGUAAUUAUUAUUUAAUGUUGAGUUUUAGUACAGUUGUAUGUGGGGAAAUAAUAUCUAUUUAUUUAAUUUUUAAGGAGUAUGUUAAAUAUUUUUAUGACUUUUCAUAGGAAUCAUUAUGCACUUGGAUAGAUAUCUUAUGCAGGUUUUAUACACGCUCCACUAUUUACCUUUGGGUGAAACAGUAGAGUAAUAAUUCUGGUUUAUGCUAUAAGCAUUGAUCAUCUAUUGUGUUUCAGGCACCUCACAGGGCAUUGGAGGUUAGGUGUGAAUGAGCAAGUCCUUAUUUUGAGGAACUCUCAUUUUAGGUGGGCAGACAGAAUUGUGACACUAUCAUAGCUACAUAAAUAAAGCUGGGGAUUCUGCUGGGGGAGAGGAGCGAGGUCAAGGAUGGCUUCAGAGAAGUAAAAAAACAGGCUGUGGGGAUGGGGGCUGUACUCCAGACAAAGACAGUAAUAGUCUGAUCCAGGAUAGUGCAGGUAUGAGACCAUAUGGAAUAUGAAACAAAGCUACAGAUGGGGCCGCUGAAAGAAAUAUGGCCGGAAACUUUGGGGAAAAGAAUUGAGUUCAAGUCCAAAUUUAUUGAUAGAUGAGGAGUUCGGGAUUUAUUCUUGUGUUUUUUACAUAAGUGGAAACAUGAUUUCUUUUUUUUUUUUUCCUCCCGUAAGGGGGAGAAUGGAGCACUAAGUGCUCUUUUGGAAAGAUGUAGUAGGUCCAACGGUGGAUUAAGAGGUCAGACUUAGAAAGAAAAAAUAAACUCUUAUAAAGUUAUAAAAGAAUAUUGUCACUUGAGGAAACAUCUUAGCCAUCAGCACGACCUUUUGAAGCUCCAUCAGGCUGGAUGAAUGGAGCAAGGUUUCACAAUAAAGGCUCCUUUCUGCUGCCAUUGCCUAGGAGGCAUACUGUGCUCCUACAUGCGCUAGACUGGAGCCCCAUGGACAGCAGUGGAGUCAAGGCAACUCUACAUAUCUAAGGGAGAUCAGGAGAGGCUGUGAGAUGAUCUAAGCUAAGAGCUCAGGUCAACUUGGACACGCAUUCUUACAUUCCCUAGGGAAAUAGAACCAGAGGGGCCCAAGGGUUCUUGAAAAAAGAAAAACGUCAAAUCAUUUGGGUGUUAGAAGAGCUAGGGGUCCAUGAAUGAGAUUAGAGACAAAUUGCAUGAUAAGGAACCAAAUGAGGGCUUCCUUCUUGGUUGUGAUGUCAAGAAGUCUAGACAUAGACUUGGCUCUGAAGGAAGAAAAUAAAAA